rnacentral:lncRNA from 1 species
UCAGAAGUGCCGCCCGCGGCUUGCAGCUGUCCAAGAUGUCUAUAAAGGUGAUCUUUUGUCAUGGUGCUGGAAACAAGUGUUGUUGAAAGGAAUGCCAAAGGAGACAUCAAAGCUCUAGCUUGCUUCCAUAUUAUCUCUUCUUCUCUUCCUAUCUCCCUAACCUUAGUCUACAUCGGUGUGUCUUUUGUUCAACAUAAGCCCAAUUAAAUAGGUAGGAAGAUCAUGCAGCAAUUACAUGAUGGAAAAUUCUUUAUGCACCACGGAUGGUGCAGAACUACAUGCAUUGCUCGCGAUGAUUGAUUCAUGCAUGGAGUCAGAAUGCGAUGUGUAAAAAAAGAAAUUUUUUUUUGACCCCGCGUGAGAACCAAUCAUCGCGGAUGGUGCAUGCGGUGCUGCACCGCCUGUGGUGCACAAAAAAUUUCUCUUACAUGAUCCGAGCAACCGGCACCCAAUACCUUAUUAUCUUAAGUUUUCUCGCCAAUAUAGGUGAUUUUGGAAGAAAAUCAUAUUAAUAUAGGUACGUGAUCGAUCACAUGCUGGUUUAUACUGGCAGAAGGUACU